GACGAACGCUGGCGGCGUGCUUAACACAUGCAAGUCGAGCGGUAAGGCCCUUCGGGGUACACGAGCGGCGAACGGGUGAGUAACACGUGGGUGACCUGCCCUCAGCUCUGGGAUAAGCCUGGGAAACCGGGUCUAAUACCGGAUAUGACCACAUGUCGCAUGGUGUGUGGUGGAAAGUUUUUUCGGCUGGGGAUGGGCCCGCGGCCUAUCAGCUUGUUGGUGGGGUGAUGGCCUACCAAGGCGACGACGGGUAGCCGGCCUGAGAGGGCGACCGGCCACACUGGGACUGAGACACGGCCCAGACUCCUACGGGAGGCAGCAGUGGGGAAUAUUGCGCAAUGGGCGAAAGCCUGACGCAGCGACGCCGCGUGGGGGAUGACGGCCUUCGGGUUGUAAACCUCUUUCGCUAUCGACGAAGCCCCUUCGGGGGUGACGGUAGGUAGAGAAGAAGCACCGGCCAACUACGUGCCAGCCGCCGCGGUAACAC
rnacentral:rRNA from 1 species